UGGUGAAGUUUUCGGAUCGCGGCGACGCCGGCGGUUCGCCGCCGGUGACGUUGUGAGAAGUUCAUUAAACCUUAUCAUUUAGAGGAAGGAGAAGUCGUAACAAGGUUUCCGUAGGUGAACCUGCGGAAGGAUCAUUG
rnacentral:rRNA from 1 species